AGAGGUCCUCUGCUCCCGGGCCCGGCGGGAACAAACUGCCGCGGUGGCGGGAGCUAGGCUCGCUUGGCUGGAGGCGGGUCAUCCUUCUCCUCGCAGCUCCCGCAACCCCGUGGCUCCCUGGAGCCACCACCACCUUCAGUGCGCUCAGUUACUGGAAGUCAAAGCUUAUGCCGGCGCAGCUGCAUCUGGUGGUGGCAGUGGCUACAAACCUCCUCUCCUCAUCUCCCCAAGGCGGCGCCCGGGCCACCCGGGCCGAAGCGCGGAUGGAUCGCCAGUGAGCCGAGAUGGCCAGACCGACGCCGCGGACAAGGACCUACUGGAGGCUAAGGGAGUUCUGGAGGACAAGUGAAGAGAGUGAUCCAGAGGAACAAACUCGGGCGCCGGAAGAUCCUACUCAGAUAGGCUAAAGAUUCCAAUGGAUGGAGGAAGAGAAGGCUUCGUAGGAACCAGAACAGCUGUCAGCUGCAGAGCCAAGCUUCUCCAGGAAGCCUGAGUCAUCCUGAGUCCCUCCCAUCUCAGAAAUGAUGUGUAGUUUCCAAAACAAUUUAUCUCUACUGGAACAAGGAAAUAAACAAAAGAAAAAGGAAGAGAUAGAAUCCAGGAAGCAGAAGGCGUAACACAGGACCGAGAUGAAGGGAUGUGACAGAGCACUUGAUUCACAUGUUCACGGCAUGGGUUUGAUCUCCAGUGUUGCAAAGCAAAGAAAAAGAAAGAAAGAAAGAAAGAAAGAAAGAAAGAAAGAAAGAAAGAAAGAAAGGAAGAAAGAAGCCAGGCGUGGUGGCGCACGCCUUUAAUCCCAGCACUCGGGAGGCAGAGGGAUGAAGAGAUGGCUCAGUAGUUGGGAGCACUGACUGCUCAUCAGAGGUCUUCAAUUCCCAGAAACCACAUGGUAACUCACAACCAUCUGUAAUGGGAUCUGAUGCCUUCUUCUCAUGUGUCUGAAGACAGUGUACUGAUAUACAUAAAAUAAAUACAUAAAUAAAAAUAAAUAAAAUUUUAAUUUUUUAUAUGUAUG
rnacentral:lncRNA from 1 species